CGGAGGAUGCGAGCGUUAUCCGGAAUUAUUGGGUUUAAAGGGUGCGUAGGUUGCAAGGGAAGUCAGGGGUGAAAAGCUAUAGCUCAACUAUGGUCUUGCCUUUGAAACUCUCUAGCUAGAGUGUACUGGAGGUACGUGGAACGUGUGGUGUAGCGGUGAAAUGCAUAGAUAUCACACAGAACUCCGAUUGCGCAGGCAGCGUACUACAUUACAACUGACACUGAAGCACGAAAGCGUGGGUAUCAAACAGGAUU
rnacentral:rRNA from 1 species